rnacentral:lncRNA from 1 species
CAUGGCCUCCUCCCGGGCCCAGCAGCUCACCUGGACCACGGAAAGCACAGAAAGAACUGGCUGAAUGAAUCAAGAGAUCAAGUGUUCUCCCUGAGGCCCUGUAACAGCUCUGCAGCUGACUGCCCAGAAGGAAGCAGAAGUCUUGGAGCCCAACCUGACUUCCUCCAUGCAGCUGAAAGCUCCUGACAGCAGUGAAGGGGAGGAUCCCUGUGGUCUCCAUGGUGCCUGGAAGAGUGUCCAAUCCAGAGCACACCAUCAGUAAACGUAGAUUGGAUUGAACAAUGUAGUGGCAGCUGGGGCAAUGGGUGGAGCACUGGGCUGGAGGACAAAGCCUCUGAAUUCUAUCUAGCCCAGGGUCAGCCACUGUGAUACUAUGCAUCCUCAUCAAUUGCCCUGGACAAACCUGUUUCUCCUGGGCUGGAUAGGAUGGUGUCUAAGGACUGAGCCAGCUCUGCUGAUAUGAAGCUGCAAGCUGAUGCCCUGCUGGAUAUUCCUGUCCCUUCUCUGCUCUACUGUAUGUCUGGGAGAGAUGGCACAACCUGUAGGUUCCAUCAGCUCCAGGUUCUCAGCUUCUGCUCCUCCCUCCGUGCUUCUGAACAUUCCACCUCUGGUCCUAGCCCCUGAGGCCCAGCUCUUCCAAUAGUGCCACUUCCACCUCUGCUGCUGGGUACACAGGGGUGAAUGCAUACCUACCUCGCUCACUAAUCAUGUGACCUUGGGUAAGGCAUUGCCCUUUUCUGGGCUUCAGUUUUAUCAUAUCUAAAAGGGAAUAAUAAGGCCUACCUUAAAGGAGUGCUAUGAGGAUGUAGGAGAUUCCAUAGCUCAGAUGUCAGGUUAUAUAUCACCUCCUGCAGAAAGUCUCCCCUGUCCUCCCAAGGAUGGCUCAGAUAGCAUUUGUUGCUGGCUCUUCAGUUCUGACCUUCCCAUGUUCACACUAUGUGGUCAUUGGCUCUCUAUGCAUCCAUCCCCCACCAAGCUGUGGGCUCCUCAAGGCCAGGAGUCUCCAGGACCCAGUACAGGACCUUUACAGAUGAAGUGCCUGGGAACGUUUUUUGACAGACACAGUGGGUGAGUAAAGCCUGAGAGAAAGGCAAGGGGUUGUGCAGAAGUCUGGGAGUCUGAGUAAGAAGUGGCCUGACUGACAGGGCAAGUUCUGGUGGUAUGAAUAUUGACAGCUGCUUGGAGCCCUUCCCCCAUUUCCCUGCUUGGUAAAUUCAUCCUUCAAGAUCCCAGGAGAGCAUCUCCUUCCCUGAGAAACCUGAUCACUCUCCCCUCUACCACAUUACACACUCCACUGUAGGUGUUCUUUACACACCUGUCUCCCUUCUCAGAUGUGAGUUCCCUGAAGGCAAGACCCUGUUGGAUCUCACAGCACCAAGCACUAGAUCUGGCAUGAGUUAGUCAAGGUUUUGGAGCAGAAGAAUGGAUGGAGGAAAUAAUUUCUGAAUCGAACUUGGAAUUGAACUGCCUGAACUUUAAUGCCCUUUCCAGCCUUAGGGAUGAUAAUGAAUUACCAAAGUGAGAAAAAUGGAGGCGCAAGCUGUUGUCAUCCUUCCAGAGG